GACUAAUCAGCAGUGAAAGCAAAAGUAACCAUGUCUCAGAAAUUGUGCUCCAGUGGUCAGUGUAUGAUCUUUUGCAGUGAUAGCAGUUUCUCCUCUAAAAUACUGUGAUUUGAGUAUUUGUAUUACAGGAAAACCGAGAUGCGCCAACUAGGAAGGAGUAGUUCAUCAUAUUAGGCACUCUACAAAUGCAAUGCACUGCUGCUCAGGAGGAAGCCUUGAGUCUGUGGCAAUGGAGAGCACUAGAAAAGGGACAGGAGGGAACUCAAAAGAGGCUGGAAGAACCAAGCAGACAGUUUUGAAGGCAGAAAGGUUCCAAAGAAUUAUGCACAAUGGACACACGUUCUUAACUCAGGGACACGUGGCAGCCUACACAUUGAUACAGACAUGAACUAGCGUCAUCCAGAAGCAAUGCUGUUUCUCUCCGUGGCCGUGGGGCUGUUAGGAAGCCUGGCUGGCCACAGGAUCCCUGCCCUGGUCACCUUUCUGUACUCCCAGAAGGGGAACAAUGAAAGGAAAGUUGGCCCAGACAUACUAAUCUGAGUCCUAGGAUGAGGAACAAAUAGCUUGUCAAAUCACAGUAUUAUGAGAGAUAAUGUUUCUGUUACUCAUACAAAGAGUUAGCAAUUACAUUGCAGCUUUAUUUUGGUUAGCUUUUCUUUAAAAUCAAAUGAAUAUCAAUCUACAAUCAAUAAAAAAAGUUGCCUAUAGGCAGUUUUGCCUUCGAAUCUACUUCAUGGAUCACCUGCUAGUAAUUUAUACAGAGUCAAUAAGACACAUUUCAAAAGUGAGGUUUUUCUCCCAAAAGGCAAAACUGCUCUAAUUUACAGCUGGAUAUGAACCGGGCAAACAACAUACACCUGAAGUAAAUGUAAUUUCUAAUUUACAAGCAACUCCAGUGAAAGAUUAUAUCUGAUCUGCUCUCUAUGCAAGUAAUCUAUGGAUAUUUAUAUUAUGAUAACUGGAGAGCAUAAAUUGCUUUUGUUUUUCCUUUUGGGUAUCUCUUUCAUUUGUUUGUUUAGCAAAACCUGCAGGGGAAACGAGAACAGCUAUAAUUACAGUCACAGUUACAAGUUGUGGGGUCUGUAGAUAAUAAGCUACAAGGCAUUUCUAUUGAGCUUUUUUAUUAUUAUUUAGUUAAAGAAUGCUUUUUCCCAAGACAAUCCAUCUGUAUUUUGUA